UGGCGGGACGGGGUGGAGUAAUGUCUGGGAAACUGCCUGAUGGAGGGGGAUAACUACUGGAAACGGUAGCUAAUACCGCAUAACGUCGCAAGACCAAAGAGGGGGACCUUCGGGCCUCUUGCCAUCGGAUGUGCCCAGAUGGGAUUAGCUAGUAGGUGGGGUAACGGCUCACCUAGGCGACGAUCCCUAACUGGUCUGAGAGGAUGACCAGCCACACUGGAACUGAGACACGGUCCAG
rnacentral:rRNA from 1 species